rnacentral:rRNA from 1 species
CAGGCUUAACACAUGCAAGUCGAGGGGCAGCAUGGUCUUAGCUUGCUAAGGCCGAUGGCGACCGGCGCACGGGUGAGUAACACGUAUCCAACCUGCCGUCUACUCUUGGACAGCCUUCUGAAAGGAAGAUUAAUACAAGAUGGCAUCAUGAGUCCGCAUGUUCACAUGAUUAAAGGUAUUCCGGUAGACGAUGGGGAUGCGUUCCAUUAGAUAGUAGGCGGGGUAACGGCCCACCUAGUCUUCGAUGGAUAGGGGUUCUGAGAGGAAGGUCCCCCACAUUGGAACUGAGACACGGUCCAAACUCCUACGGGAGGCAGCAGUGAGGAAUAUUGGUCAAUGGGCGAGAGCCUGAACCAGCCAAGUAGCGUGAAGGAUGACUGCCCUAUGGGUUGUAAACUUCUUUUAUAAAGGAAUAAAGUCGGGUAUGGAUACCCGUUUGCAUGUACUUUAUGAAUAGGGAUCGGCUAACUCCGUGCCAGCAGCCGCGGUAAUACGGAGGAUCCGAGCGUUAUCCGGAUUUAUUGGGUUUAAAGGGAGCGUAGAUGGAUGUUUAAGUCAGUUGUGAAAGUUUGCGGCUCAACCGUAAAAUUGCAGUUGAUACUGGACAUCUUGAGUGCAGUUGAGGCAGGCGGAAUUCGUGGUGUAGCGGUGAAAUGCUUAGAUAUCACGAAGAACUCCGAUUGCGAAGGCAGCCUGCUAAGCUGCAACUGACAUUGAGGCUCGAAAGUGUGGGUAUCAAACAGGAUUAGAUACCCUGGUAGUCCACACGGUAAACGAUGAAUACUCGCUGUUUGCGAUAUACGGCAAGCGGCCAAGCGAAAGCGUUAAGUAUUCCACCUGGGGAGUACGCCGGCAACGGUGAAACUCAAAGGAAUUGACGGGGGCCCGCACAAGCGGAGGAACAUGUGGUUUAAUUCGAUGAUACGCGAGGAACCUUACCCGGGCUUAAAUUGCAGAUGAAUUACGGUGAAAGCCGUAAGCCGCAAGGCAUCUGUGAAGGUGCUGCAUGGUUGUCGUCAGCUCGUGCCGUGAGGUGUCGGCUUAAGUGCCAUAACGAGCGCAACCCUUGUUGUCAGUUACUAACAGGUUCCGCUGAGGACUCUGACAAGACUGCCAUCGUAAGAUGUGAGGAAGGUGGGGAUGACGUCAAAUCAGCACGGCCCUUACGUCCGGGGCUACACACGUGUUACAAUGGGGGGUACAGAGGGCCGCUACCACGCGAGUGGAUGCCAAUCCCAAAAACCUCUCUCAGUUCGGACUGGAGUCUGCAACCCGACUCCACGAAGCUGGAUUCGCUAGUAAUCGCGCAUCAGCCACGGCGCGGUGAAUACGUUCCCGGGCCUUGUACACACCGCCCGUCAAGCCAUGGGAGCCGGGGGUACCUGAAGUGCGUAACCGCGAGGAGCGCCCUAGGGUAAAACUGGUGACUGGGGC